rnacentral:rRNA from 1 species
UACGUAGGGGGCUAGCGUUGUCCGGAUUUAUUGGGCGUAAAGAGCGUGUAGGCGGCCAGGUAGGUCUGCUGUGAAAACUCGAGGCUCAACCUCGAGACGUCGGCGGAAACCAUCUGGCUAGAGUCCGGAAGAGGAGAGUGGAAUUCCUGGUGUAGCGGUGAAAUGCGCAGAUAUCUGGAGGAAUACCGGUGGCGAAGGCGGCAUCCUGGACCGGCAUUGACGCUGAUGAGCGAAAGCUAGGGGAGCAAACGGG